rnacentral:misc_RNA from 1 species
ACCUUGAUCUGAUGCACACAUUCUUCACUGGGACCUCAUGGGUGGAACCUUUGACAUGACAUCUGCGCAGUUGAUUUCUGCUAGUACUUCGCUUCGGUGGCUGGAACGUGGGGGUUGGUGAGCGGGGUGUCUGCACGCUGUUGGGUCCUGAGGGACCGGAUGCGGAUCUUUCCGGAUCUGGUCUGAACCUCUGGACCUCUUUCUGUUUGUCCCUGUGGGGGCAGGUGGAUGGGGGUACCGCCCGUACUUUGAGAACUACACAGUGGACGCGAGCAUCUUGCGACCGGCUUUCGAGCUGGUUGCACAAGAUGAUCUUAAAGAUCAUUAGUCAAUUUCUGAUCCCGCCUUCCGGUGGGGUCGAGUUUUUGAUUCAAACUCAUGUGAUUUCAAGUCUUUAAUAUCAAACGGUGGAUGCCUUGGCAUCUGGAGCCGAAAAAGGACGUAUCAAUCUGCGAUAAGCCUCGGGGAACUGAUAAGCAAGUUUUGAUCCGAGGGUGUCCGAAUGGGGAAACCCGGA